GAUGAACGCUCGCUACAGGCUUAACACAUGCAAGUCGAGGGGAAACGACAUCGAAAGCUUGCUUUUGAUGGGCGUCGACCGGCGCACGGGUGAGUAACGCGUAUCCAACCUGCCCACCACUUGGGGAUAACCUUGCGAAAGUAAGACUAAUACCCAAUGAUAUCUCUAGAAGACAUCUGAAAGAGAUUAAAGAUUUAUCGGUGAUGGAUGGGGAUGCGUCUGAUUAGCUUGUUGGCGGGGUAACGGCCCACCAAGGCAACGAUCAGUAGGGGUUCUGAGAGGAAGGUCCCCCACAUUGGAACUGAGACACGGUCCAAACUCCUACGGGAGGCAGCAGUGAGGAAUAUUGGUCAAUGGACGAGAGUCUGAACCAGCCAAGUAGCGUGCAGGAAGACGGCCCUAUGGGUUGUAAACUGCUUUUAUAAGGGAAUAAAGUGAGUCUCGGGAGACUUUUUGCAUGUACCUUAUGAAUAAGGACCGGCUAAUUCCGUG
rnacentral:rRNA from 1 species